CGAACCGACUAAUGUUGAAAAAUUAGCGGAUGACUUGUGGCUGGGGGUGAAAGGCCAAUCAAACCGGGAGAUAGCUGGUUCUCCCCGAAAGCUAUUUAGGUAGCGCCUCGUGAAUUCAUCUCCGGGGGUAGAGCACUGUUUCGGCAAGGGGGUCAUCCCGACUUACCAACCCGAUGCAAACUGCGAAUACCGGAGAAUGUUAUCACGGGAGACACACGGCGGGUGCUAACGUCCGUCGUGAAGAGGGAAACAACCCAGACCGCCAGCUAAGGUCCCAAAGUCAUGGUUAAGUGGGAAACGAUGUGGGAAGGCCCAGACAGCCAGGAUGUUGGCUUAGAAGCAGCCAUCAUUUAAAGAAAGCGUAAUAGCUCACUGGUCGAGUCGGCCUGCGCG
rnacentral:rRNA from 1 species